UAAAUUACAUCAUGCUGAUAUCAUAAUCUAAAAGAAAUAAUUUUUUUUCUUUUUGACUUUUCUCUCCCGUUUCCGCUCUCUUCUGCCGUUUUCAACUAAAAAUCAAUUUUCAUUUUCCAAUAGCCAAAAACCAAUAUCCAAAAAAAUCCCAAAUCUUAAUCCCCAAUUUUGUUUCUUCUUCUUCAUCAUCUUCUCUCAACCGAAGUUGUUGGCUCUAUCACCGUCGGCGGUUGGCCUCCUUACUUUUAUUUUUUCUUCUUCCUUUAAUGAAUCCUAGUUGCCGCCAUCUUAUCUCCAAUCAAGCACCAUCAAAACAGUCCUUUCCGCCACUUCUCUUCAAAUCGUCGAUUAGUUUUCCAAGAAUCCGACCCAAGUUUGAUGAAACAAAGGUCAAAGCUUUGAUCUCUUUCUAUCUUCGAUCUCCCUUUUACACCGUCAGAUUCUUUGAUACGUGGUACAUCAUGUCAUGAUUCGCCUUACCAUCGUUGGAAUCGCCGAACGAAGAUCUGGAGUUCCAAACCCGAUCUUGAACAGAUAAGUCCUUUGACGUUUCUUUCUAUUUUUGCUUCUCUUUUUAUUUAUUUAUUGUUUUUUUGGGUCAUUUGAUUCUAGUUACUACUUUUAAUUAUUUGGUUUUGCUGGAUUUGAGAUGUUGAGAAGAGGUGAUGAUGAAUGGGGUAAUGAUGGUGGUGCCCGAGUGGUGAAGUGAUGGAGGGUGUCACUAUGGUGGUAUUGAGAUGAUUGAUUAUUGGAGGCUUAGUUUCAGUUGAGGGAGGGAAAGAAUGAUGAUGGCUCUUUAAUUUCUUGAUCAAAUUAAUAGGAAGAAUCAAAUGAUAAAACUAAAAAUUGAAUCUUGGGACAUUACUUUCGACGGUUCACAAAAUGGAAAGUUGAUUUUAAAUUUUUUCCUGCUAUUAUUAUUGUGUUUGGAUGCUCAAUUGUAUUUGAUUUCUUCAUUGUCUGUGGAUUAUUGAUCGAAAAUUUUAAUUUCAAAUGAGUGAAUGGAAA